rnacentral:rRNA from 1 species
GAUGAACGCUGGCGGCGUGCCUAAUACAUGCAAGUCGAGCGAACAGACGAGGAGCUUGCUCCUCUGACGUUAGCGGCGGACGGGUGAGUAACACGUGGAUAACCUACCUAUAAGACUGGGAUAACUUCGGGAAACCGGAGCUAAUACCGGAUAAUAUAUUGAACCGCAUGGUUCAAUAGUGAAAGACGGUUUUGCUGUCACUUAUAGAUGGAUCCGCGCCGCAUUAGCUAGUUGGUAAGGUAACGGCUUACCAAGGCAACGAUGCGUAGCCGACCUGAGAGGGUGAUCGGCCACACUGGAACUGAGACACGGUCCAGACUCCUACGGGAGGCAGCAGUAGGGAAUCGUCCGCAAUGGGCGAAAGCCUGACGGAGCAACGCCGCGUGAGUGAUGAAGGUCUUCGGAUCGUAAAACUCUGUUAUUAGGGAAGAACAAAUGUGUAAGUAACUAUGCACGUCUUGACGGUACCUAAUCAGAAAGCCACGGCUAACUACG